UACGAAGGGUGCAAACGUUGCUCGGAAUCAUUGGGCGUAAAGCGCACGUAGGCGGCCUUGCAAGUCGGAUGUGAAAUCCCUCGGCUCAACCGAGGACGUGCAUCCGAAACUGCUCGGCUCGAGUAUGGAAGAGGGUCGCGGAAUUCCCGGUGUAGAGGUGAAAUUCGUAGAUAUCGGGAGGAACACCAGUGGCGAAGGCGGCGACCUGGGCCAAUACUGACGCUGAGGAGCGAAAGCGUGGGGAGCGAACAGG
rnacentral:rRNA from 1 species